AAUCAACGCUGGCGGCGUGCCUAACACAUGCAAGUCGAACGAGAACGGUUCCUUCGGGGAUUUAGUAAAGUGGCGAACGGGUGAGUAACGCGUGGAUGAUCUGCCCUCAAGUGGGGGAUAACUCGGGAAACCCGGGCUAAUACCGCAUAAGCCCUUCGGGGGAAAAGUAUUUAUAUUGCUUGAGGAGGAGUCCGCGUCCGAUUAGCUAGUUGGUGGGGUAAGAGCUCACCAAGGCGACGAUUGGUAGCCGGUCUGAGAGGACGGACGGCCACACUGGAACUGAGACACGGUCCAGACUCCUACGGGAGGCAGCAGUGGGGUAAGUUUUGGGCAAUGGGGGCAACCCUGACCCAGCAACGCCGCGUGGAGGAAGAAGGUUUUCGGAUCGUAAACUCCUGUCCCGAGGGACGAAGCAAGUGACGGUACCUCGGGAGGAAGCCCCGGCUAACUCCGUG
rnacentral:rRNA from 1 species